rnacentral:rRNA from 1 species
GGGUGACCUACCUUGAGGAUGGGGAUAGCUGUUAGAAAUAGCAGGUAAUACCGAAUACGUUCACAAUAUUAUGAUUAUGUGAAGAAAGAAGCUACGGCUCCGCCUUGAGAUGGGCCCGCGUCCCAUUAGCUAGUUGGUGAGGUAAAGGCCCACCAAGGCGAAGAUGGGUAGCCGGCCUGAGAGGGUGAACGGCCACACUGGGACUGAGAUACGGCCCAGACUCCUACGGGAGGCAGCAGCUAAGAAUAUUCCACAAUGGACGAAAGUCUGAUGGAGCGACGCCGCGUGGAUGACGAAGGCCGAAAGGUUGUAAAAUCCUUUUGCGGAUGAAGAAUAAGCGGUGGAGGGAAUGCCAUCGUGAUGACGUUAGUCCGCGAAUAAGCCCCGGCUAAUUACGUGCCAGCAGCCGCGGUAACACGUAAGGGGCAAGCGUUGUUCGGAAUUAUUGGGCGUAAAGGGCGCGUAGGCGGCCGCGUAAGUCUGAUGUGAAAACCCCGGGCUCAACCCGGGAACUGCAUUGGAAACUGUGCGGCUUGAGUCACGGAGGGGAAAUCGGAAUUCCUGGUGUAGGGGUGAAAUCUGUAGAUAUCAGGAAGAACACCGGUGGCGAAGGCGGAUUUCCAGCCGAUGACUGACGCUGAGGCGCGAAAGUGCGGGGAGCAAACAGGAUUAGAUACCCUGGUAGUCCGCACUAUAAACGAUGCACACUAGGUGUCGGGACGAGCGUCUCGGCGCCGGAGCGAACGCGAUAAGUGUGCCGCCUGGGGAGUAUGCCCGCAAGGGUGAAACUCAAAGGAAUUGACGGAAUCACU